AUUACCUCUUUGUAGUCCAUGUUUCUCACGUGUUGCCAUAUAAGUGAACGUAUGCCUUCUUUAAACUUCCCACGCACAAUAUAAUUAUGCAGCAAAAGGUAGUAGAAGGGCAGGUUCUUAACUACUUUAACUGCCUGCUUGAAGCUGAAUGAAUAGAGCCCACAAAUGAGCUGUACCAUCUUAAUGUAGAGAGCAACAAUUAAUGGUCCAAGAACCCAUAAAGGGGUUAAUUCUCUGGAAACUACAGAUCCAUAUACUAAAUUAACUGCCAGGUAUAAAGGGAAGCUGCAAAUACAACAAAAAGCGAGACAAUUAGUCAACAGCAAUAUUCAUUCUGUUAUGGAUCUGCACCUGUCUGAAUAUCUUAUUUAAGCUAAACAAAUACUAAAUGAUGAAGAAUAUAUGUUGUACUCGUGCUUUGACAGUUCAGAAGCAAUAAUGAGAAAAUUUGGAAGAAACUACCAAAGAUUGCAUUAUAACUGUACUCAUGCAUAUAACAAUUUAAAUUACGCAACAUCUUAUAUCAGCUAGAGUUUUAAAGCUACAUUCUUUGGAUUCAUUAAACUAUUUCCCUUGUUAAAUUACCAGCAAUACAUGUUAGAACACAGAAAUUUAAUCAACUCAGUCUAGAGUAAAAUAGCUCCAAAUAUCCAUUGAAACACACACACACACACACACACACACACACACACACAAAAUAAAUACAUAAUUUCUACACAUUGGCAUACAGUACAAAUCAGUGCUCAAUCGAAACUGAUAUUUUUACCUUUUCUCAUACAAAAUUCUGUAUCUCCUUAGUUUUGGAAACAGAGAAAUUGAUCACAAGCAAGCAGGCAUGUAAAAUAUACAGGCUUACACACACAGAAAGAGAUUGGAGACGGAGAAAGGAUGUACCAUCAGACUUACAAUAUCAAUAAAGGUAUCUUUAUUGUUGCGUCCAGACCUAAAAAUCUUCUUUCCACGAGAAAAGAAACAGCAAUAAACUUAAGCUAUAUCCAUGCUUGACGCUAUUAAGAAGAACCCAUAUGAUUUUGGGAAAAUUCUGAACCCAUUUGAGGAAUUGACAGCAAAUGGGGUGCGUGGUGGAGAAAUUCGGAGAUUCUGAGGUAUGGAAAGCGGCUUCUUUGGUUGUUCUAGUUUUGAAGCAGCUAUUUUUUAGACUUUCCAGCCCGACUUUACAGAUGUUCUUUGUCCAUUUUUUUCACAUGGUAGAAGAAACUAGGAUCUUUUUAGUUUUUUUCUUGUCUUUUCAUUAUUUUUUGUUACGGUAGAAGUCGACGAAGUUGAUAGAAUUGGAUCUUAUUCUCGUCAAGAAUUUUUUUCAAAAAUAGUAAUAUUGUAAUAAAUAAGAUGAAAAACAUUAAAGGUGCGUUUGAUAGAACAUAAUUCCAUGAAAAAUAUCACAUCCGAUAAAUUCGUUUUCUACUUUUGACUGUUUGAUACGAAAGUGAAGUUGGAAUUCGAAUUCCAAGGUACAAAUACUUAAAGAAUGUUUUUGACCAAUUUCAUGGAAAUCGAAUUCUUAUGAUUUUGAUAAAUUUUUUUUUUUAAACUUGCAUGAGAUUGAAUUUCUUUUUACACCUUUACAAUCAAAUAGACCUUAACUUCUUAAAUUCUCUUUUAUUUAAAUUAUGUUGCUCAUAGUUGAGAGUUGGAAACUCCCAAUCUCCCGAGCAAGGCUCAAGAGGAGCUUUGCAGACCGUCGAGGGAAUAAUGGCAGUAGUAGGAGGAGAAGAAUAUUUAAAGGAUAUCAGGUAAGAGAAGCUCAAAUAAAAUUAACCUUUCGAUUUCAAUUUCAAUCUCUAGCUUUAUCCUUCUUAAACAAAAGCUUGUUGGACAAGACUUUUAAAAAGUCAACCUGCUUUUAUUUCUUUGUUCUAAAAGUACUUUGUUAAGCUAAAAGCUCUUUUACAAAAAAUACAAGUAGAAUCAACCAAGAAAAGUUCCGUGUGUGUAUCAUCAGUGAUAAUUUCAUAUUAAGAUAAUCAGAAAUUUAGGCAUCACUAUGAACCCACAGAAACUUCAAUAAGGUGUGAGAUGGGAAAAAAUAAAUAAAUAAAUAAUAAUAAUCAUCUUUCGAUUUCCCUCUCCAAUUUGAUCCUAAUUAAAAAAAAAGCUCAUUUGACAAGAUUUUUAAAAAGUCAAGCCAUGUUUGAACUUGCGAAAGUACUUUCAUCAAGUUAGAACAAUUUUUGAAAGAAGCUGAUCAAAUGUAAUUGCUUUUGAGAGCUCUUCUAAGAAAAAGGGAAGCAAAACCAACCAAAAAAAAGUUAUGUUGCGAGCACGCUUGUGAUCAUCGAUAAUUUCACAAUAAUAAAAUCAGAAAUUUAGGCUUCACUAUGAACCCACAGAAAAAUCAUUAAGGCUAAAUUCAAAUUUGGCAAAGCAGAGCAAAGGGAUUAAGAACCCCAGAUUCCAAAACGGGGUUCAGGAAUUGUUGCCCGUGAGAAUAUUUUUCACCCCAAAACAAGGAAAUAAAGGAAAAAAAGAAUCCCAAUUUUCAUGCCCUGCAACCAUUUCUAUCCCCAAAUCUACACUAGAUUUGCUCUCUUCAAGAACUUGAUCAUUCUGCAGUAAAAUGGCCAUAUGGAUUCCACAUAGUCCUGAUAUUUCUCCACCAACCCAAUUUCCAAAUCUUUUGCCUUACGCUUCAUUACCUCUUUGUAGUCCAUGUUUCUCACGUGUUGCCAUAUAAGUGAACGUAUGCCUUCUUUAAACUUCCCACGCACAAUAUAAUUAUGCAGCAAAAGGUAGUAGAAGGGCAGGUUCUUAACUACUUUAACUGCCUGCUUGAAGCUGAAUGAAUAGAGCCCACAAAUGAGCUGUACCAUCUUAAUGUAGAGAGCAACAAUUAAUGGUCCAAGAACCCAUAAAGGGGUUAAUUCUCUGGAAACUACAGAUC
rnacentral:lncRNA from 1 species